ACCAUCUCCAUUUGUGACAAUCCCAGCAGACCAGCAUAUGCUCUGCAGAUGUGAUACAUGGAGUUCAUCACUGUCUGCUCCUCCUGGCACAGCCAGAUCAUCAGGUUAUCUUCUACUUGGCUAUUUCCAUGAAAGUCGGCUCUCUCUGGGACGGCUUAUUUCAGCUUCAUCAGCUUUCCAGACCACAGCUGGGGGUUAACACACCACUUCCAUUGAGUGUCACCUUCUUGGAGUUUCCUUCCAACUUGGGAUAUUCUACGAUUCUAUGUCAGAGGGCACUCCUCUGGGCAGGGUCCAUGCCACUUCACUCCAGAAAGUCCCCUGCCAUGGCUCUCCAGAGCCUUGUCCUUGCCAUAAAGCCAACCCAUCCCUGGUGCAGCACAGAUAUAAUUGUAUUGGAGGCUGUGUAUGUGGCAGUAAAUAUGUCAAGGAGAUGAAAUCUCAAGCAUGCUCAGGGUGAGUGAUUCACAGGCUGCUCAGUUUAUACACAGCUCAGCCAGGAGCAUGUGUUUAACUGCUUGCUGUACUGUAACACCCAGGGCUUCCUGCAUUAUCCACUUGCCCCAGCACUAGAGCUGCCACCUUCUCAAAACACUCAUCUCAUGAAGUGAAUUUCCUUUCUAUGUUUAUCUUUUUAUGCAAUUAAUAUUUUCUCAGCCAAUCACAUAUCAGUCUGCCUCCUCAAUAUCUGAAGCAAUUAAUGAGCCCCAGCUGGCAGCCAUGGCUGAAUGAGUCACUCUGCUGGAGGAAAAGAUAUUGCUGUUGCAUAUUGUCUCCUGUCAUCUGCUGAUUAAAGGUACUUGUCUCUUGUUCCCAGGUCAGAGCUGGAUCUCCAGACCUGGCUGACCCUAUGUCUCUUGAUUUGUAUGUCACAGGUGUGUUUCAAUGUAUUACUCUAUCCCUCUCUUCUUGUGCCCUGCCACAGCCAGCUUUUCUGAAUGAGGUCAAAAAGUCCUUUUUUGAACUGUCUGCAAUGAUGCCUUGCUAUUUUCCCUAGCUGACAGAGGUAACAUGUAGGUUUUUAUACUGUACGAACAGCUGAAGAGCCUUUCU
rnacentral:lncRNA from 1 species